rnacentral:rRNA from 1 species
GACGAACGCUGGCGGCGUGCUUAACACAUGCAAGUCGAACGGAAAGGCCCUGCUUUUGUGGGGUGCUCGAGUGGCGAACGGGUGAGUAACACGUGAGUAACCUGCCCUUGACUUUGGGAUAACUUCAGGAAACUGGGGCUAAUACCGGAUAGGAGCUCCUGCUGCAUGGUGGGGGUUGGAAAGUUUCGGCGGUUGGGGAUGGACUCGCGGCUUAUCAGCUUGUUGGUGGGGUAGUGGCUUACCAAGGCUUUGACGGGUAGCCGGCCUGAGAGGGUGACCGGCCACAUUGGGACUGGGAUACGGCCCAGACUCCUACGGGAGGCAGCGGUGGGGACUAUUGCACAAUGGGCGGAAGCCUGAUGCAGCAACGCCGCGUGCGGGAUGACGGCCUUCGGGUUGUAAACCGCUUUCGCCUGUGACGAAGCGUGAGUGACGGUAAUGGGUAAAGAAGCACCGGCUAACUACGU